rnacentral:rRNA from 1 species
UACGAAGGGGGCUAGCGUUGCUCGGAAUUACUGGGCGUAAAGCGCACGUAGGCGGCUCUUUAAGUCGGGGGUGAAAUCCUGGAGCUCAACUCCAGAGCUGCCUUCGAUACUGUAGAGCUUGAGUUCGGGAGAGGUGAGUGGAACUGCGAGUGUAGAGGUGAAAUUCGUAGAUAUUCGCAAGAACACCAGUGGCGAAGGCGGCUCACUGGCCCGAUACUGACGCUGAGGUGCGAAAGCGUGGGGAGCAAACAGG